rnacentral:rRNA from 1 species
GUGGGGAAUUGUUCGCAAUGGGCGAAAGCCUGACGACGCAACGCCGCGUGGAGGAUGAAGAUCUUCGGGUCGUAAACUCCUGUCGAAUGGGACGAACGGCCUGGCCGCUAACACCGGCCGGGAAUGACGGUACCGUGAGAGGAAGCCCCGGCUAACUCCGUGCCAGCAGCCGCGGUAAUACGGGGGGGGCGAGCGUUGUUCGGAAUUACUGGGCGUAAAGGGCUCGUAGGCGGCCUUCUAAGUCAGACGUGAAAUCCCUCGGCUCAACCGGGGAACUGCGUCUGAUACUGGAAGGCUUGAAUCCGGGAGAGGGACGUGGAAUUCCAGGUGUAGCGGUGAAAUGCGUAGAUAUCUGGAGGAACACCGGUGGCGAAGGCGGCGUCCUGGACCGGUAUUGACGCUGAGGAGCGAAAGCCAGGGGAGCAAACGGGAUUAGAUACCCCAGUAGUCC